rnacentral:lncRNA from 1 species
AGAAGGCUGCCGAGACUGCCGAGAAAACAAAAGACACGACUUAUGAGACUGCAGAGAAAGCGAAGGUAUAAUUACUAAUUCUUGAUUGAUACAUGUACGUUCAUAUAAACAAACAACAUUAGAUUUAUCAUCAUGUAACAAUCUUUUUUGUGUUUUGUAGGAGAAACUGAGUGAGACUGAGGAGGAAGCGAGGAGAAAGAUGGAGCAGUUGAAGUUGCAAGGAAAAGAGUACAAAGAUGAAGAUGCUGACAGGGCACGUGAGGCACGUGACAUCGAGGCCGAGAAAGGGCAGGCAGCGAAGGAAAACAUAUUCAGCUCGAUUGGGAGCAUUCCUGGUGCCAUCAAAAGCAAGUUGACUCAUCCUACGGAUGUGGUGGAGGAGUCACGUGCCGCACGUGAGAGAGGGAGUACGGGGAGAAGGACCGUUCCUGUUGUGGAGGGGGUGGAGGUUGAUGUGGCGGAGACGAGGCCUGGUGCCGUUGCAAGCAAGUUGUACGAGUCGGACCAGAUGCAUGGUCAAAACUUCAACGACGUGGGUCGUUUGGACGAGGAUUGUAAAACGCAAGCGGAGAUCCGCAUUGAUAACGAGGGCAAACGCGUGGAGCGCCUCCACAAAAUGU